rnacentral:ncRNA from 1 species
CAACCUCAACUCAUAUGGGACUACCCCCUGAAUUUAAGCAUAUUAAUUAGGGGAGGAAAAGAAACUAACAAGGAUUUUCUUAGUAGCGGCGAGCGAAAAGAAAACAGUUCAGCACUAAGUCACUUUGUCUAUAUGGCAAAUGUGAGAUGCAGUGUAUGGAGCGUCAAUAUUCUAGUAUGAGAAAUUAAUGAUUUAAGUCCUUCUUAAAUGAGGCCAUUUACCCAUAGAGGGUGCCAGGCCCGUAUAACGUUAAUGAUUACUAGAUGAUGUUUCCAAAGAGUCGUGUUGCUUGAUAGUGCAGCACUAAGUGGGUGGUAAACUCCAUCUAAAACUAAAUAUAACCAUGAGACCGAUAGUAAACAAGUACCGUGAGGGAAAGUUGAAAAGAACUCUGAAUAGAGAGUUAAACAGUACGUGAAACUGCUUAGAGGUUAAGCCCGAUGAACCUGAAUAUCCGUUAUGGAAAAUUCAUCAUUAAAAUUGUAAUAUUUAAAUAAUAUUAUUAAGAAUAAUGUGCAUUUUUUCCAUAUAAGGACAUUGUAAUCUAUUAGCAUAUCCCAAAUUUAUCAUAAAAUAUAACUUAUAGUUUAUUCCAAUUAAAUUGCUUGCAUUUUAACACAGAAUAAAUGUUAUUAAUUUGAUAAAGUGCUGAUAGAUUUAUAUUAUUACAGAGCGUUAAUUUUUCGGAAUUAUAUAAUGGCAUAAUUAUCAUUGAUUUUUGUGUUUAUUAUAUGCUGGAAUCCACCACAGUGGCG